GGCCCUAUAAACCGGUGUUUAUGAUGUCGGAUACACGUAUUAAUCGGACGAUAUUUUUACGGCACGUCGCCUGUACAUUAUAAUACAGCGGUUACGGUUACAAUGUCCAUCGUCGGACGGGUCGGAACAGUGCGGCGUUUUGUCCCGACACGCGUGGUAUCCCCCUGUUGUUAUCGCGAUGCAUAAAUAACUGUCCGAGGUACAAAACUUUGUCGAACGGUUCGGAUCGGCGGCUCUUAAACCGAUGUUCGCGUCGGGCGUCCCGCGGCGGCUCUGUCGGUAAAUAUUGACUAUGAUAGCGGUUGAGAUAUUUCGCUAGAAAAAAAAAAAAACAAAAGCUAUUGGAAUCGGAGGUCCGCGGUUUCCGAGUGUUUCAUCCAACGGGGUGUUCGUGUGCGCCAAAAGCUCCAGAACCGCCGGACCGGAUGAACGCUUUUAAUUUAUACGUUUAUUUCGCGUAGGAUAGGUUGAAUUGAACACAGUAGUUGCGGUUAAACGAAUAAAUCACAAAGUCCAUUAUAUAGGCACGGCCAUCAACCGUCACGCGGCAAUUAUGUUUUCGACAUCUCGCCGAUGCAGCUGUGUUCCGGCGAACCCGGUACACCUGCGUUCUUGUGGCAGCCUUAUAUUUAUACAACGCGCAAAAUUAUAUCUUAGUUUUUUUUUUGUUUUUUUUUUUUAUCUAGAUGAAACGACGCUCUAGUUGUUUAUCUUUGUAUCCGUACAGAUUUCGUUUCAGUAACAUAUCAUCUCGUUAUAUCUGAAUGUUUUACGGUUUUUCUCGCUGUACACACAAUUGUACAACACACGUAAUCCCAAUCCCAAUGGACUUCGGAUAUCGUGGGAGGGGGGGGGGAGGAAAGUCAUAUCGGCUCAGCAACGCUUCUGCGUAACAAGGCGUACACCACGGUCGAUAGUAUAAUCAUUACACAAACACAACGCGCGGCGUCUAAAAAAUCAAUUAAAACCUAAACUCUAACAAACGUUAAAUAAAAUUUAAAAAAAUUAAAACAAUCUCGCGUAUACUCAUUUAUCUGUUUAUUUCACAUUAUCUCCGCAAGCUACGCAGUACGCGUGCAUGUUACAAUGUAUAACACCAGGAUUGCAGAACCACAACGGUACAGACAUCGAAAGAGUCGUUGUUUUUAAAAAAUCUCUUAGCCGUUAAUCGUAAUAUUGUUAUACAUUAUAGCUGCCAUUAGUGUUGUUAGGCCGUCGUAUCCCAGGGUGGUUUUUAACGUAGGGAAUAAUUGGCAUGGACAUUUUUUUUUUUUUUUUUUUUAAAACGUCCAUACGAAUACCGACGAUCAUAAUGUAAUAACCAAUGUCUACUGAAAAUCGUACGAGUGUAUAAAGACGCGACUUCACGGUCCAUAUAGGGAAAGAAUCUUGAACAGCCGUGUAAGUUCGCAUCGCCUUAUCGAUAAUCAGACCGUUUUAUUCGUUAUGCACAAUCCAGGCACUAAACCGUUUUUAGGCGCUUUUCAGCAAAUCUAAACCCAAAAAUUUGUCGACUCCUACAACACGUAUAUACAAUACGUGUAUACAUAUAAAUAUGUUUGCCGAUUAAAAAAAAAUUUGGUUUUUAUUUUUUUUCUCGAACAAAACCGUCGGGUUUUAAAUACCGCGAUAACCUAACCAUUUAACGCUCUAAACGAUAUGCGUGUGUGUUUUUUUUUUUUUUUUUACGUAAACAAAUAAAACAUCAUUUGACCGUCGUAAAAACGAGACGUUUCAUAAAGUUCGGAUUUUUUUUCCUUUUUUACCGCUGAUCUGUAUAGUCAACUACUUAUACACACAUAUUACAUAGGUAGGGCUGUGAAUUUGUUGGAAAGUGCAUUUUUUUUUUAGCCGAUUGUGAAACGUCGCUUUCUAAGUGCGUAAUUUGAAUUACGUAACAACAAAUUCAUUUAUGAAACUUUUAUUUUGCAUUUUUCGACGUUUUCAAUUCCUAAGGUAAUUUCUUGUACUUUUUAAGCCGUAUUUUCCUGUUCAGUUCAUUUUCCGGUGUUCGUAAUCAAAUCCCGCCGGCUAACAUUUUUACGCGCGUAUUUUUUUUUUUUUUUUUUUUUUGUUUUACACGGGUUUGUUACAGGUAAAUAUAAUAAGGAUUCGAUAAAAUCAAGGCAAUGUUAGAUUAGUUAUUUGCGGGCCUGCCUGAUCAGUAACAUCGAAAUAAAUAUAAAAAUCAAACUAAAAACUGUUUCAUGUGCGUUCUUUGAGACAUUUAAAUGCACGUCUGACGGCAUUUCCAAGGUUUUCCACUGUUAUUAAAUUCACAACCCCGGCAAUAUGCGAUCACCGCGCGCGGCAAACGCGUCAUAUCACACGGCCGAAAUUUCACCGGGAUUAUUUAUUCGUUUUUUUUUAUGGAAUAACAAAUCCCGACUAUGUACCGGUAAACGGCGUGCAAUGUCAUCGUCGAUAGAGCUGCAGCCGGUACACUACGGUAGGAAAAAUCAUUGUAAUAAUUAACGAAUUCGGUUGGUAUUUUUUUGUGUUUUCAAAUUUUUAUUUCAAAUCGUUUUUUAUAUCCCAUUUUUUUUUUUUUUUUUUUAAAAGUUUUAUACACAACACAUAUAAAUUCAAUAAAUAAUAAUAGAAAAAAAAAAAAAAAACAUCCAACAGAUAAUGUUUCUUUUUCUUUUUUGACUUAAUUCCUCGAUACACAUAUAUAUAUAUAUAUAUAUAUAUAUAUAAUGGUGUUUUUUUUUAUUAAAAACAUAAUAUAAUAUGCGAAAAAACAAAAAUGUACACGUUCCAA